UAGAGGCGAAAAUGUGUGCGCGCGAGGCAGGGAGCUCGGCUCCGCACCAGGCGCUCGCCCCGACCCCGUCUUCCUCCGCCGCCUCGCCGCGCCGGCCGGCCUCACCGGAGAUCACCGCCGCCGCGACCAGGUCACGUCGCCGCACCUGCCUUCUCCUCCUCCCUCUCCUUCCUCUCUUCCUCUCAGCAUCUCUCUCUCCCUCUCAUUGCAGCGCCGUCAUGGCCGCCCCGAGCUUUGCCGGCAGCCGCGCCGCGCGCCUCCGGCGGGAUCCGGCCGCCCCUGCCCGGAUCCGCAUCCUCCGCUCCGCCGCGCCCCGGAUCCGGCCACUACCAAGCCUCCCACGCCGAUCCGCCCGUCCGCCGGCCUCCCCCUGCUCGACUCGGGUGGACGGGCAAAGUUUCUGACUUGCCAUUGUAGUUGACCUGAAGCUCCGUUGGUGAGGAGCAUUGCCGCUGCUGCAGGUUAGGGAGGAGGCUCGAGGCAGCCACGAAUUCCGUCCUGCACUGCUUCAACACCGGCCUAUUCUAGCAUGAAUCUUCUGCCGUGAGCAAGGGCCAUUUGUUUGACAGAAAUAGAGUUGUUACCGCAAGAGAGGUACAAAUCAAGGACCGAGGAGGGACGAGUGCGGAUUUGAUCUAAGUUGGGUUACUUUCUAUGAAUAGAUGAUGUGAUUGCUUUGUUAUUUCAUUUAAUUAAUAGAAAAAUUGAUGAGGCAAUUGGAAGAAUCAAGCAGCAAUUUUACUACAUAUCUGCGCCAUUGAUUUGGUCAUCUCUGUCACUAGCAAGUUGCAUAAGAAAGAGUGUGGCGUUGCAGAGGCGUGUAUAAUUGUGAGUCCCUCAAUUAUAGAGCGGAUCCAGGUGAAAGAUGUAGGUGGUGUGUGGAUUGAACUCUAGAUCGGGAACCUGCAGUACUAGAUGGACGAUAACUAUGCUUACAAUUGUUGACCGAACACUGUGAGGUGUGUGCCUGUCCCUCUUCCACCCAUAUCAACAUGUAAUUUUGUAAGAAGCUAAUUUAGUGUAGCAAGAACAUCAUAUUUUAGACACGGUCUGCAGAUCGAUGUACUUUGUCCGUCUUUCCUUCACCAAAGCAUGCGUUAUGAGAUCAUGAUUACUACCAGGUACAACAUUGCAAUUUAUUUUCCAGAAUGUUCCUUGAACACACUCCCAAGUUCCCAACCAUCAGCAAUUAUAGUCUCCUCAAUUCAGAUGCAUAGGAGUGCAACUUUUAUAUGAGAAUGUGCAACAAAAGCAUGUUGUUUGUAUCUGUUGACCAUUGAAAUCCCAAGACCAAUGCAUGGAGAAGUAGCCUGUGAACCCUAAGUUAUUUCUGGAGAAAUUAAACCACAUAUUUGACUACUUAUUGAUCUCCGAGCUCUAUAAUAAUAUUAUCCUUAAUCUGUUUUUUGUGAAGACAGAGGAUGAGAAAGAAACAGUAUCCAGGACCGUGUACUAUACUAACAUUGUAAUUAUGGGUCCGUGCCACCUAUUUCUAUUUUGAAGCAGUUCUUUUAGGAACAGAUGAUUACACAUGAAGUAAUGGUAUCCAUGACUAUGUAUUAUACUAACAUUAGUAAUUAUGGGUCCAUGCUAGGUAUUUAUAUUCUGAAGCAAUUCCGUCAGGAACAGAUGAUCACACAAUAUCUUUUGAUAAAUUCUUUUUGCCUAGCUUCUGAUUUCUAUUAUCAGAAACAGAUUGUCUGUUCUUACAGGAAACAUCUGUAAACAGCCGUUAUUCGUUAUUGUGCUCUUCCAUGUCGCGCCGCUGACGAGAGGGUGGAGGGUAUUAGUCGUCAUCGCGGAGGAGAAGAAGGGUAACCACCAACCAGGAGAGAGGGAGGAAAGUUGUGCCCGUUCACUGGAAGCCAGGCAACCUGGCACCAUCGCCGAGGAGAGCGAGGAGGGGCUGGACUACGCCGCCACAGAGAUGAGCUGCGAGGGGCUCCGGCGUCCCUGCAUAGGAGGGGGGAGAGAAGCCGCCACCUCACCACGUGAUUCUGCUUGAAACUCCUCGGAGCUUGCACCAGGCUCAAACAUGUGCUGGAUGCCUUAGACGUCUGUACCCAUGGGUUGUUUUCACUUAGGCGAAUGACAAUUAAUAUCCGAUCGAACUCAGUUGGAGGCCAAAGAGGUUCGGCUUUCGGACAUGCCACCAAUAACGCUCGUUGACACCGACGUGCAGACUGUAAGUUUCCCCCCUCAGUCCUGAUAUAUUGGUGCGAGACACCCUGCAUUUACAUGAUAUUGCUAGGAGCACGUGCAAAUUACAUAAUUUGUUAUACAUGCUGCUUAAGUUGAUCACCGUUAUGCUGUUAAUUGGACCUCAAGAAUAGAGAUGACACCUUACCAUAGGCAGCUCUUUAUUUUGUGCACGUUAAUUCAAUUCUGAAAGUUGAUUCAAGUCUUUAGUGCUUGAAGUAGAUUCAUAGAAGCUACAGUUCUGUUAGUAUGUGAACAAAAAGCUUAUCUUAUAUGUGUGACCGGAGUUGCAGAAUAUGAAUAGGGGAAUGAUCAUAGAUGCCAACACCUACAGUAUGAUUUACCUUGAUAGAGGUGCAGUGGAUUCGUAAGUAGUUUUAGUGUUUUUUGUAGAUAGCUGAAGUACUUAAGCUUCUGCAAUCAUGAAAAACAAAACAAGGGACCAGUAGUCAGGUUCCAUUAUCCUUCUGUAGGUGUUCUCCUUGAUGCCUUGCCCCCUUCAUUACCAGUACAAUGAUGCUUUCUCUGUUAAAAUCUUGACACUACAUUAUCAAUCUCAAUAGCUUAAUCGAUUCUAAGCUCACCAGAAGUAUUUGUUCAGAAUUUAGAUCAUCUAUCGCAUAUGCUUAUACCCGAACCCUCUAUGACGUGGUAUUCUUGUGCCAGAUUUUUGCCAUUUCGGUAAUAGUUAUAGUUGCAUACUUCGAUCUGGGAGUAAUGGUUGUACCAGGAUGCGUCUCAUGUCUUACUUUGUGACAGCAGUUGGUCGCAUUUCAGUGACAGUCAAUUCAACCUUGAACAAGCAACUAAAUAGCAGGUCUUCUUUGGUUGGAAGCACCACAUCUCAUCUGUGUUGCUGCAAAAGCUUUUCAUUAUUGGACCAAGCUUAUGGGAUAUGCAUUGCAGUAAGUAUUAGUUACCAUGUUCAGUUCGUGCGACCGAUUUAAUUACUUCUCUUGUGUGGAGAAAAACUCUUUAGUUGCGUCUUUUGUUUGUGCGAAUAAAGCCGUCGAGUUACUUCAAAAAUGUCCUUUUCUCCUAGGAUGUAAGAUUAUGUUAUGUGGGCGGGCUGAUUGAUUUGCAGGUCAGUAAGGUUGUACAUUGUGUGGAGGGACUGAAUGUGUAUCCUAUUUAGUGCACAUCGACGAAACUGGAUUCAGAAAAGUAAAAUAUAGAGGCCGGAGAGUUCGGCGACCAACUUGGUAGCACUUGUGUGGCAUCUAUCAUCGAGCAGCACCCUUACUGCGACAUCCUACCCAUGGUCCUUAUGGCGCCGUUUACAUAGCAUAGACAGGGACGUGGUCGGCCUCGGCAUGUUCUCCAUUUGUGGCCAAGGACAGUGAUAAUGCAGAGAAUUUCAGAAUUGGGUUGCAGGCAUGAUGCUCAGAACUGCUCUUUAGGGACUUGCAAAAUGAUCUUUCCUAUUACGCAACAAAACAUUCUCACGCAGUACCGGAGGUCAUGGAGGAGAAGAGCGUGUAUGAUCGUGAUGAGGCCGAGCGUUUGGCUGCCGCUGUGCGGGAUCCGUGACCAUAUGCGGCUCCUUUCGUGCGAGAGGAAUUCUUCGGCAGCUACGAGGACGACUAGAACACGUUCGCCUGGAAGCAGCGGAGAGAUGUAUUUGAGGAUUUUGUACUAUCUGUGUCCUUAACAGACUACUACUGAUCACAAACUAAAAAAGAAACAGAUUACUGGAUCGGAUGUGGAAGAGGAAAAGAAAUUGGAAGCAAAUCCAUACAACAACUCGACCAGCAGUGAAGUACCCGGCUUUCAGAGAUUGGAUGCCCAGAUUAGUACACAGAAAAGUUGGACUACUUGAUCGUCUUGAAGGAGGAUUACUGAACCAGUAAAUCGUUCAUGGAUAUUUCUUUAUAAUGUCUGCAAUGACUCGUUCAUCGUUAUUUAAAAUUUUGAUUAGUCUGAUGGCCCUUUAUAAUGUUUGUGCAAUCUAUACGAAUAAUUACAUGUGCGUAUGUAAUUUACCACCAAAAUCAGUAACUAAGGGGAAAGACUACGUCCUACUAUCCGGGAAGCUUAAUGAUCGGGAUCGGAACUUAUCAUCCGUGGGACAAGUGGUGGUGGAGGUAAAAGCCAUGAUCAGAACUUUGAGCGAGUUCAAGAUCACCUGGGUCCGAAGGACAGCAAAUGGUGCUGCCCAUUUGCUGGCGUGCUUAGGAAUAAGCAGUAGAGCAUCGGUCCUUUGGGACUCGGUUCCCCCUAUUGUAUUCUUAG